CGGAAUCAUUGGGCGUAAAGCGCACGUAGGCGGCGGCGUAAGCGGGAUGUGAAAGCCCAUGGCUCAACCCUGGAAGUGCAUCCCGAACUGCGUCGCUUGAAUCUCGGAGGGGGACAGAGAAUUCCCGUUGUAGAGGUGAAAUUCGUAGAUAUCGGGAGGAAUACCAGUGGCGAAGGCGCUGUCCUGGACGAAGAUUGACGCUGAGGUGCGAAAGCGUGGGGAGCAAACAGG
rnacentral:rRNA from 1 species